AGCGAACGCUGGCGGCAGGCCUAACACAUGCAAGUCGAACGAACUCUUCGGAGUUAGUGGCGGACGGGUGAGUAACACGUGGGAACGUGCCUUUUGGUUCGGAAUAACUCAGGGAAACUUGUGCUAAUACCGAAUGUGCCCUUCGGGGGAAAGAUUUAUCGCCAUUAGAGCGGCCCGCGUCUGAUUAGCUAGUUGGUGAGGUAACGGCUCACCAAGGCGACGAUCAGUAGCUGGUCUGAGAGGAUGACCAGCCACACUGGGACUGAGACACGGCCCAGACUCCUACGGGAGGCAGCAGUGGGGAAUCUAGCGCAAUGGGCGAAAGCCUGACGCAGCCAUGCCGGGUGAAUGAUGAAGGUCUUAGGAUUGUAAAAUUCUUUCACCGGGGACGAUAAUGACGGUACCCGGAGAAGAAGCCCCGGCUAACUUCGUG
rnacentral:rRNA from 1 species